UUCAUGAAAUUCAAAGAUAUUGUGCAAAACUGCUAAAGUCCUGAAAAACACCUAGCCUUGAAGGAAGAAAGCAGAAGAGACAUAAAGUCUUAUGGUGGAAGAGCGCCUCAGUGCUGGACAGAGGAGGUUAUACACAGGCCCCUUGUCCUAACACAGAACUUAAACGGAACAGAGCAUCACUGUCCCCAUCGCUGACACCUUACCCAUCUUUCAGGAACCCCUGGACCUAGCUGUGGCUGGACCGUGGCAGUGCUAUUUAAAGAGUGUGCAUUUCCUUUGCACAGUUAUAUUCAGAUGGACACAGAUGUAAGAAAAAGUCUAAAUAAAAGAUUAGUGAC